UGCACUGAUCUAAUCCGUGAGUGAUGAAGCCUUAGGGUCGUAAAGCUCUUUCGCAGGGAUGAUAAUGACAGUACUGGUAAAGAAACCCGGCUAACUCCGUGCCAGCAGCCGCGGUAAUACGGAGGGGGUUAGCGUUGUUCGGAAUUACUGGGCGUAAAGCGUACGUAGGCGGACUAUUAAGUGUAGGGUGAAAUCCCAGGGCUCAACCCUGGAACUGCCUUACAUACUGGUAGUCUUGAGUUCGAGAGAGGUGAGUGGAAUUCCGAGUGUAGAGGUGAAAUUCGUAGAUAUUCGGAGGAACACCAGUGCGAAGGCGGCUCACUGGCUCGAUACUGACGCUGAGKURCGAAAGUGUGGGAGCAAACAGGAUUAGAUACCCUGGUAGUCCACACCGUAAACGAUGAAUGCCAGUCGUCGGAUAGYAUGCUAUUCGUGACACACCUAACGGAUUAAGCAUUCCGCU
rnacentral:rRNA from 1 species